CUGGCUCAGGAUGAACGCUGGCGGCGUGCUUAACACAUGCAAGUCGAGCGAACAAAGCGAUGUGAAGCCUUCGGGUGGAUCAUCGCGGCGUGAGCGGCGGACGGGUGAGUAACACGUGGGUAACCUGCCCUGUACACUGGGAUAACGCACCGAAAGGUGUGCUAAUACCGGAUAAAGUGAACCUUUCGCAUGGAAGGAUCACCAAAGCUCCGGCGGU
rnacentral:rRNA from 1 species